rnacentral:rRNA from 1 species
CCUACGGGAGGCAGCAGUGGGGAAUAUUGGACAAUGGGCGCAAGCCUGAUCCAGCCAUGACGCGUGAGUGAUGAAGGCCUUAGGGUUGUAAAGCUCUUUUGUCCGGGACGAUAAUGACGGUACCGGAAGAAUAAGCCCCGGCUAACUUCGUGCCAGCAGCCGCGGUAAUACGAAGGGGGCUAGCGUUGCUCGGAAUCACUGGGCGUAAAGGGCGCGUAGGCGGCCGAUUAAGUCGGGGGUGAAAGGUUGUGGCUCAACCACAGAAUUGCCUUCGAUACUGGUUGGCUUGAGACCGGAAGAGGACAGCGGAACUGCGAGUGUAGAGGUGAAAUUCGUAGAUAUUCGCAAGAACACCAGUGGCGAAGGCGGCUGUCUGGUCCGGUUCUGACGCUGAGGCGCGAAAGCGUGGGAAGCAAACAGGAUUAGAUACCCUGGUAGUCCACGCCGUAAACGAUGAAUGCCAGCCGUUGGCCUGCUUGCAGGUCAGUGGCGCCGCUAACGCAUUAAGCAUUCCGCCUGGGGAGUACGGUCGCAAGAUUAAAACUCAAAGGAAUUGACGGA